AUUUAAACAGUGAACAUGUCUGGGGCAGUUUGUAAUCUGUCUCUCGCUUCACUGGGAUAAACAUUUCAGAUGAAAAAACCCUUGGGAAGUACCGUCAUACGAUCUCGGCCAACUUGACGGUCAUGAAGAUUUCCCUAUUCACACUGAGACAAUGUCUACCGGUCUUCCACACGUCUCACUGCUUCACGGUGCAUAAGACCAUCAAGUAGGGUCACAAAUAAGAAGAAAUGUGCUCACAAUUUGUGAAGCAAGGGAGUCGACCACCCUGGAAAAUGUUCAAGUCUGAGUAGGAUUUGUUUCGUGGCCCUAUUACGCAAACUUUACACUAUUUUUGCAAUGGGAACACAACAGGAUGGUACAUUGUAUGGAAGCUGUUCCUUAGCAAGUUCAAGUUUGUACGGGAAUUGCUAGGACAGAAUGGCUCAGAAUCAGCUGAUGAUCAAACUGCUCAACGACAACGGG